UGCCGCCUGGUGAAUAGCUCGGCUCGGGAGCCGACGAAGGACGUGCCAAGCUGCGAUAAGCUCUGGGGAGCCGCACGGAGGCGAGGAACCAGAGAUUUCCGAAUGGGAAUCCCCACCGCAAUUGCUUUUCGCAAUGGGGAACGCCGGGAACUGAAACAUCUUAGUACCGGUAGGAAGAGAACGCGCAAUGCGACGUCGUUAGUAACCGCGGGUGAACACGACAUAGUCCAAACCGAAGCCUACGACCACGCGAGAGCGUGAUCACGGGCAAUGUGGUGUGUGGGCUGACACGCACCGCCAGAUCGCUAUCGUGAAGUCUCCUGGAACGGAGCACGAAACAGGGUGAUAGUCCCGUAACGGCGGUCAGUACGGCGCGAGUCAGUACCGGAGUAUCGGGGGUUGGAAAUCCCUCGUGAAUAGAGCAGGCAUCGACUGCUAAGACUAAGUACUCCCCGAGACCGAUAGUGAACAAGUAGCGCGAGCGAACGCUGAAAAGUAUCCUCCAACGGGAGGUGCAAUAGGGCUUGAAAUCAGGUGGCGAUGGAGCGACGGGGCAUAAAAGGUCCCACGAGAAACGACCGUGGCGCGAGCCACCAGUAGGAGACGUGGGAAGCCGAUGUUCCGUCGUACGUUUUGAAAAACGAACCAGGGAGUGUGUCUGUUUGGCGAGUCUAACCCGUCGACCGGGGGAGGCAUAGGGAAACCAACAUGGCCGCAGCAUUGCCAGGGCCGCCGUGUUCAAGCGCGGGGAGCCAGUCGGACACGACCCGAAUCCGGACGAUCUACGCGCGGGCAAGGUGAAGCAUGGCGAAAGCCAUGUGGAAGCCUGUUAGGGAUGGUGCUCUACAACGCCCUCCCGUGACCUGUGUGUAGGGGUGAAAGGCCCAUCGAGUCCGGCAACAGCUGGUUCCGACCGAAACAUGUCGAAGCAUGACCUCCGCCGAGGUAGUUCGUGGGGUAGAGUGACUGAUUGCCGUGUCCGCCUCCGAGAGGAGUCGGCGCGGCUGUCAAACUCCGAACCUACGGACGCUGUCGACGCGGGGAGUCCGGUGCGCGGGGUAAGCCUGUGUACCAUAAGGGAGACAACCCAGCGCUGGGUUAAGGUCCCAAAGUGUGGGUUAAGUGCGAUCGAAGGUGGUCUCAAGCCCCAGACAGCCGGGAGGUGAGCUUAGAAGCAGCUACCCUCUAAGAAAAGCGUAACAGCUUACCGGCCGAGGUUUGAGGCGCCCAAAAUAAUCGGGGCUCAAACCCACCACCGAGACCUGGCCGUGCCUGUGACAGGGCAGUUGCGUAGGUCGGCGCUCCGCGCGGGUGGAAGUACGGGAUAGAUCUCGUAUGGACCGCGUGGUGACGAAAAUCCUGGUCGUAGUAGCAGCGAAAGUCGGGUGAGAAUCCCGAC
rnacentral:ncRNA from 1 species